rfam:Aedes aegypti strain Liverpool supercont1.1128 genomic scaffold, whole genome shotgun sequence.
UGCCCAGUAACUCCUAUCCCUACCUCCUCGCGGUACUGGCCGGGGUACGAGUAACCUUAGGGAAGAUCGGGUAACCAACCCCCGGUGGGAACUUUGGUCGUAUGCUGACAGGGAAGG